UAUAUAUGCAGAUGCUGUCGU
rnacentral:piRNA from 1 species